GAUGAAGAACGCAGCGAAAUGCGAUAAGUAGUGUGAAUUGCAGAAUUCAGUGAAUCAUCGAAUCUUUGAACGCACAUUGCGCCUCCUGGUAUUCCGGGAGGCAUGCCUGUUCGAGCGUCAUUAAAAUCACUCAAGCUUAGGUUUACCUAUUGCUUGGUCUUGGAGAUGGAAGCCAAUUUAUUGGAAUCCUCUUCGAAAUUCAAUGGCGAAGACCCUUGCUCUCCCAAGUGUAGUAAUAACUUAUGUCACUGAAGGAAGCGAGAAAUCUUCUGCCGUAACCCCCAUAUUUUCUCUGAUUGACCUCGGAUCAGGUAGGGAUACCCGCUGAACUUAAGCAUAUCAAUAAGCGGAGGA
rnacentral:misc_RNA from 1 species